AUGGUGGCGGUGAGGUGUUCAUCCGGCUCUCAGAUGACUUGCCGCAUCCAUCUGUCGUUGCAUUCGCUCGCCGCGCUUGCGUCCGCCAACCCUCGACUUCCGGCGCGGUGUCAAACUACGAGCUCCCUCCCCGCUUCGUCGUCAUCCAACGCCGCACCACCCGCCCCGUGCGCCUCGACUGGCAGGCAUUACGCUUUGCGCUGGCUUUCUCCAUCAGAUCUAGCCCGCAUCCAACUCCUAGUGGUGGGGCUACCGACAUAUCCCCUAGUGAUAGGGCGGUCUGUGUCCUCGCAAGGUGGCGCUCGCUCAUCCCUCCCCUAG
rnacentral:rRNA from 1 species